rnacentral:tRNA from 1 species
UGUUCUGUGGUUUAGCUUGUUAAGGCGCCGGACUCGCAAUACGAAGUCGUGGGUUUGGAUCCCACCAAAACAA